AUUGAACGCUGGCGGCAGGCCUAACACAUGCAAGUCGAACGAGUGGCGGACGGGUGAGUAAUGUCUGGGAAACUGCCUGAUGGAGGGGGAUAACUACUGGAAACGGUAGCUAAUACCGCAUACCAUCGGAUGUGCCCAGAUGGGAUUAGCUAGUAGGUGGGGUAAAGGCUAACCAAGGAGACGAUCCCUAGCUGGUCUGAGAGGAUUCCCAGCCACACUGGAAAUUAGACACGGUCCAGACUCAUACGGGAGGAAGCAGUGGGGAAUAUUGCACAAGGGGCGAAAGCCUGAUGCAGCCAUGCCGCGUGUAUGAAGAAGGCCUUCGGGUUGUAAAGUACUUUCAGCGGGGAGGCGUUACCCGCAGAAGAAGCACCGGCUAACUCCGUGCCAGCAGCCGCGGUAAUUC
rnacentral:rRNA from 1 species